GGUAACGUUCUUACUAUUCUACUUCACUCUCUUGAGUUCUUGAUUUCGAUUCUAAAUAGUGAUAAUUUUUUUUUGUUUGAAUCAGAUGGAAAAAAUGGAAUCAUUUUUGUUCACCUCCGAGUCAGUCAACGAGGGACACCCCGACAAGCUCUGCGACCAGAUCUCCGACGCAAUCCUCGACGCAUGUCUCGAACAAGACCCUGAAAGCAAAGUCGCUUGCGAGACGUGCACAAAGACCAACAUGGUCAUGGUCUUCGGCGAGAUCACAACCAAGGCUAACGUCGACUACGAAAAAAUCGUCCGCAAGACUUGCCGCGAGAUCGGUUUCGUUUCCGCCGACGUCGGCCUAGACGCCGAUAACUGCAAGGUCCUCGUCAACAUCGAGCAGCAGAGCCCCGACAUCGCGCAAGGCGUCCACGGUCACCUCACCAAAUACCGUUCAAACCAACUUCAUUACACAAACUUUAAACUAAAACAGUAUCGUAAACAACACAAAAUUAAAUCCCACAAGAAUCGACCUGAGUUGUGUUUUGUUUAAAAGUUGCCCAUGGGGCCAUAGGCCAUAAAGCAAUAAAAUGUUGGGUCUAUCUAUUCAACCCAUUAUUUCACAUUUUAUCUCUCCGUGACUAAGCCCAGAGGCUAGCACCUGUCAGCUAAAUACGCCAUUUAUUUCGUUGAUUUUAGGGCCUUAAUUGUUGGUCCGUUAUAUCGAUAUUUGGGGACUAACAACUCAAUGCAAUUCUUUUGAAAGAUAAAACAAUGGAUCAUGUUAUCUCUCAUUUUGUCAGACUACAUAUCUAACAUAUAUUUGUUGUACUGUGCUUAGUUCGUCUCCUAAGUUUUGAUCAGACCUUAGUCAUUGGAUUGCCGUCGACUACUUUGUUUGUGAUUAAGUGUAUCUAUUUCCAAACUCAACUAAAAUAACUCACAAAAGAAAAGCUAUAAAUGUUCAAAAAUGAAAGUCAGUGCGUGAUCUUACCAAAACUGAAAAAUAGACCAACAUUAUUGGCAGGCUGGCGAAACUGUUCAAAAUAUUUCUUUUCAAAAGGACAAUAUCAGAGAUAGACGAUCCACCAGUGGGUCUAAUUUGACACCUUAGCCGACACAAUAACAAAGAGAUAAAUGAAAAAAAGUGAAGAAUUCUAUGUUGCCUUUUUGCCGGUGGCGAGUGGACCCAUCACUAAAGAAACAGCCUGUGUGUGUAAUGAAAUGUAUCUCUCUUUCACUCCAACAUGCCCUGUCGGCCUGUCCGGUUUCCCGGUAGUUAAUUACGUUCAGUUCUCACUCACCGACACACACCCCUUCUCUUAAUCUCCAUGAUUUACGAUAGCAUUUAUUUCUAACUCAUUUCAUGCAGAUUCACAUGCUUCAAAAUAUCUUACCAUAAAAGAUAUUUGUUGUAUUUAAAUUUAUUUUCAUAUUAGUAUUAUUCUCUCCUUUCUUGUAAGAUUAAUGUUUUCUAAUUUUUUUAAUUACUAAUAAUAAAUUAUAAAUUUCAAAGUUUUAAUUAAUUUUUUUGGAUUACUAUUGAUUUAAUUCACUCUAAAUUAUAAUCACAAUUUUUUUAAAAAAUAUAUACCUGUGAAAAUAUAAUAGUUUACUAGUAAUAUUAAACUAAAGUAGAUUUUCGACUACAACCAUGAUUCUAGAUCUUCAGUAGAUGCUGUGUAAUUGUACAAGUUGUACUUGGACGCGGUGGUCCAGUUAAACAAAUCCAACGGUUGUAGUCAGCUUUCUUUCAUAGAUCUAACUUAAACCGUCAGAUAUCUAGAUCUCAUAUCCUCUGUGUGAAUGAGCGUAGAUGAAAUUACGAUCUUAUUACACCACCUCACUCCUUUCUCUGCUUCGUAUAUAUAAAGCUUCGACGCUCUUCCUUCACCUUCGUACUACUACCAACUCUCUCAUUCUCCCCUCGUUAGGUAACGUUCUUACUAUUCUACUUCACUAUAUCUCUCUUGAGUUCUUGAUUUCGAUUCUAAAUAGUGAUAAUUUUUUUUUUUUGAAUCAGACGGAAAAAAAUGGAAUCAUUUUUGUUCACCUCCGAGUCAGUCAACGAGGGACACCCCGACAAGCUCUGCGACCAGAUCUCCGACGCAAUCCUCGACGCAUGUCUCGAACAAGACCCUGAAAGCAAAGUCGCUUGCGAGACGUGCACAAAGACC
rnacentral:lncRNA from 1 species